CUCUUUACCUUUCUUCUCUUGUCAUUAUUCGUUUUUCCUUUUGUUUUUUCUUUUUUCAUCUACUGUUUUUUCUUUUCUUUUUUUCUUUUUUUCUUUUUUUCUUUUCUGUCCUCUUUUUUAUUUCUAUUUCUUUUUUCUUUUCUCUUUUCUUUAUCUUUUUUCUUUUUUUAUCUUUUCUCUUUUUUCUCUUUUUUGUUCAUGUUCUUUUUUUCUUUUCUCUUUUUUCUCUUUUUUUCAUUUUUCUCUUUUUUUUUUUUUUUUUUUUUUUUUUUUUUUUUUUUUUUUUUUUUUUUUUGUUCUAUUUUUCUUUUCUUUUUUCAUCAUAGGUGCCUUCACCCUCCCCUCAGCCCUCCCUCCCUCUGUCUUCACCCAUCCCCUCCCCAUCCCCAUCCCUUCUUUCUCCCUACCCCCCCCUUUUCCCCUUCCUUCCUCCCUUACCUGCCUCCCUCCACUACCUUCUCCUCACUUCCUGCUUCUUGGUGCUCUGGGCUUUUGCUGCUACUCACGCCAAACCUCAACACUUGCCUACUCUGCUUGCUGCUCUGCCAAGUUGCUCUCUACUCUGCUCGCAGCUUCACGCCUACUGCCUGCCCUUCUCUAUCCCCUUCUCGUGCCCUUCAGGCUUUUCCUCCCCUUGCUGAGCAAGGCCAUGCCCGGUAGCUACCCUUGAACCUCCUCCGCCCUUUGCCUUCCUCCACAGAGAUGCUUGCUUCUGGCCAGCACUCCUGCCCGGUGCCUAGCCCACGCACCUCAUCUCUUGGGGAGAUAGCAAGGUGGCCUGUAGCUACCCACACCUCCUCCCGGGCAUGGCUUCUCAGCUUUGCUUCAAGCCCAGAACCCAAAGGAGCUCCUCUUACCUUUUGGCCCACGUUCUUCUCCUCCCGCGCAGCUCCUGUGGCAAGCAGGGGCACAGCUCUGGACAGAUUCCUCCAUUCCUGCAAGGUUGCUUUUUGUCAUUCUUUGCCUUCUUUUGCUUUGCUCUCUUUUGCUGUGCUAUGCCUAGCUUUCCUACUUGCUUGCUCUGUAUUUACAUGCAUUGCUUUUUACUUGUUAUUCUCUUUUUCCUC
rnacentral:lncRNA from 7 species